AUCUAUUACUGCUAAUCUAUCUAUCGCUGCUAAUCUAUCACCGCUGUCAAUCUAUCCCUCACUGCUAAGCUAUCUAUCACUGCUAAUCUAUCACUGCCAAUCUAUCUAUCACUGCCAAUCUAUCUAUCGCUGCUAAUCUAUUGCUGCUAAUCUAUCACUGCUAAUCUAUCGCUGCCAAUCUAUCUAUCGCUGCCAAUUUAUCUACCACUGCCAAUCUAUCUAUUGCUGCUAAUCUAUUGCUGCUGCCAAUCUAUCUAUCACUGCUAAUCUAUUGCUGCUGCUAAUCUAUCUAUCACUGCUAAUCUAUCACUGCUAAUCUAUCACUGCUAAUCUAUCGCUGCUAAUCUAUCGCUGCUAAUCUAUCGCUGCUAAUCUAUCGCUGCUAAUCUAUCGCUGCUAAUCUAUCGCUGCCAACCUAUCUACCGCGGCGAAUCUAUCUAUCACUAUCAUUACUAGUUCAAAAUAGAACU
rnacentral:sRNA from 1 species